GUAAUCUCCAGCUGUCCCAGUAAUAAACGUGUCGGGACGAAACAAGACAGGCAGGCAGCGUUUCUCAACCAGUCGAAAUCAUGAAUCAGCUGGCAUCAUUUUUAUGAAAAUAUACAAAGAUGGAUACCCUUCCCCUACCCAUGGUGUUGAAAGAGGUUGUAUUGGGAGGAGGAUGCAUCAACACCCUGGAAAAAUGUUUAUAGUGCACUCACUCAUAACACUUUUGAGUGAAUCGUCUUCAAGCUUGAUAAGAAGCCAUCAGUUACAAGGCAAAAAGACAGAUGGAGGCCUUUAAUCAAACUGAGGACAGAGAAAUGUGCACCAGGUCAAGGCUUCAUGCAUGCAUGGCUUUGAGAUGUCAGUUUACAAUUAUUCAUUUUGGGAAAAUAAUAUGAAUUUCCAUGUUAGGCAUAACUCAAUUUUAUGUUGCGUUUCAUUUGAAGUCCCCAGUCUAGAUUAAAUAUCAUAAUUAGUUAAUUAGUUUGAAACAAUUGUGUUGAGGCCUUGGCUGGAGAAAAAUCAUGUAUACUGUGGCCACACAUUUAUACAAGGCUGAAACUUUAUUUCCUUGCUGAAACAUACAAAGAAUGCCAGUUUCAGUGAGAAGCAUAGCAACAUAACAGCUGACCCAGUUUUUCAAAAGCCAAACCCACCCGACAAUUAGCCGCUGAGUCUACUUUUUAAGAUGCCAAAAUAUUAAAUGUUUCAGUAUCCUGUU